CAGGAUCCUGGCAGGCAGAGAGAAGACCCAGAGAAAUGCUUCCCCACUUACAGUAAAGAGAAAGGACCAAGAGCUUGCCGUAGAAUAUCCCAGCUGUGUCCCCAACUCACGGAGGACCCAGAGGGCCAAGCACUUUGGUACCUCAUGAAACCCUUUUCUCUCCACCAGGCUAAUUUCGUAACAUUGCUUAUUUAAAUAGUUUUUCAGGGGCACCUGGGUGGCUCAGUCACUUGAACAUCUAACUUUUGAUUUUGACACAGACCCAGGGUCAUGCGAUGGAGCCCCCACGUCGUGCUCUGUGCUGAGUGUGGAGCCUGCUUAAGAUUCUCUCUCCCCCCACCUCUCUCUCUCCCUCUGUCCCUCUUCCCCGAUCAAUCAUGUUCUCUCUCUAAAAUAAAUAAAUAUUGGCGCACCUGGGUGGCUCAGUCAGUUAAGCACCUGACUCUUGGUUUCAGCUCAGGUCAUGAUCUCACAGUUCGUGAGUUCAAGCCCCAUGUGGGGCUCUGCACUGACAGUGCAGAGCCUGCUUGGGAUUCUCACUCUAUCUCUCUCUCUGCCCCUCCCCUGCUCAUGCUCUCUCUCUCUCUCAAAAUAAAUAAACCUUUAACAAAAUAUUUAAAAUAAAUAAAUAAUAAAAAUUAGUUUUUCAAAUUAUUUCUUAUACCAACUGUCAUCCUUGCCCCCUCCCAUCACUCCCCUGCUACAUUCACUAGUAGGUUCUUGCUGAAAUUUAACCUGUCACAUUAAAUUGAAGUUCAUUGAUGAACGUGGCUCCCUAGUUAACUAAUAAUUAACUAUAUUAUUCCAGGUAUUAUUUUCACACCAGUGACAUACUAUAUAUAGUACACCACCCUUGCUACUUUGUUUUUUGUUAAAGAGCAUUAACUAAUUAAGUCGUCUGGUGACGACGUGACUAUAAUUGAUGAAAAUCCCUAUCUAACUCAUCCAAAUUGAUGAAUUAAACCAAUUAGUAAAAUCUCCGAUUGGAUUCUCUAGUUGAUGAAAUUCACCUGCCAUUCUUCUAUUUCAGAAGUUCUCAAAUUUGAAAGCACAUGGGAAUCACCCAGAGUGUUUGUUCAAAUAGAUUCCUGGGCCCUACCCCCAGAGACAUUUACUCAGUGGUUUUAGAGUAGGGCCUGAGAAUUUGCCCCAGGUUCCCAGCUGAUGCCAAAACUUUGGGUCUGGAGUCCACACUGCAUGUAGUUAAUGGAUAUGGCUCAUAGUUAAAGUCUCUCAGUUAAUUAAAAUCAGUUUCAUUAAGAAACUUCCCUUAGAGUUAAUUAGGUCUCCCAAACUCCUAAUUACAUCUAGACCCUAGAUAAUAAGACUUGUUUAAUAGGCUUAUUAAACUCAUCAAAUUAAAAUUGACCCCUUCAGAAAAAAAAUUCACCUCUUCCUUCUUUAAGCCCUUUAUACUGGUUCUUUCAACUUUAUCUUACUAGGGUGGCAGCUGAGAAGAAAGGGCCUCUGGGAUGGAAGCUGGGGAGUGACGCUCCCAGCGGACAACACGGAGACGUGGAGGGAAUUGUGAACUGGGGGGUGUCCGCGUUGCAUCAGCUUUACGGAGGGCCCCACCUGCUCCCAGUUUCCUUUCCUGGCCACUCCCCUCAGGCCUCCAACUCUGUUUCACAAUACAUUCAUGGAUUGCAAUUCCCAGUCUUCCCUGCAGUGAUCUGGAGUUUUGUCUUGGGGAAACAGUAAUCGCAUGGUUAAGAAUGCUGGCUUGGAGUCAGGCUGGGUUCAAAUGCAAAAUCCCCAACAAACUAGUUAUAUGAUCUUGAACAAAUUAUUUAACCUCUCUGAACCACCUGCACAAGAACAUAGGCCACAUCAUCUGGGAAGGACUGACUCCAUCUUUCUCCAUCAGGAGACUGGCUUCCUCUUCAGGGCCUCUAACCUGAGGGUGUGGAAUUGAGGUGUCAUGGCUAGGCAAGGGCUGCCCCCUGGUGGUCAUGGAGCCUGGGGAGUCCUGAGACACCUAGAAGUGGUUUUUCUCAAAAGGGCCUGAAUUCCAGCUUCCGUCCAGUCCCUUACCUUGCCUCAUCCUAUCAACAGACCAUCUCCACCCCAAAGAGUCAAUGUGGAAGAAAUGGUUUCUUCUACUCAACUAUGAUAAGCAACUUGAGGAGGGAGCAGAGAUCACCACCAGUGGACUGGGGCUGUAGGGCUGGGAAGCGCCACUGGCCUGAAGAUAAAACUCCAUACUUGCUACAGUACACGCUCAAUCACAUGGCACUGCUCCAUGUCUCAGGACAAUGCGGCUUUGAAGUCAAGUCAGCCUAAGUUGGAGCCCUGGUUCCCCUGCUUACACAUCUGUGAAUGUGAAUAGCAUCUGUCAAUUUCCAGACUUCACUGUCCUGGAUGCUCAGUGUAUGUUAGUCCCUAGCCCCUCCCCAGUCUGGGGCUAGGAUGACCAUGGUUAAGCUCUGCCUGAACUCAAGGGUAUCUUGCUCUCUCUACCCCUUUUCUGUACCUAAGAUUUCCAAUAUCCAAAAAUGUUGUGGAUUCCAAA